rnacentral:rRNA from 1 species
CCUACGGGUGGCAGCAGUGGGGAAUAUUUGGCAAUGGGCGCAAGCCUGACCCAGCAACGCCGCGUGAAGGAAGAAGGCCCUCGGGUUGUAACCUUCUUUUAUCAGGGACGACGAAGUGACGGUACCUGAUGAAUAAGCCACGGCUAACUACGUGCCAGCACCCGCGGUAAUACGUAGGUGGCAAGCGUUAUCCGGAUUUACUGGGUGUAAAGGGCGUGUAGGCGGGGAAGCAAGUCAGAUGUGAAAUUCCAGGGCUCAACCCUGGAACUGCAUUUGAAACUGUUUUUCUUGAGUGAUGGAGAGGCAGGCGGAAUUCCGUGUGUAGCGGUGAAAUGCGUAGAUAUACGGAGGAACACCAGUGGCGAAGGCGGCCUGCUGGACAUUAACUGACGCGGAGGCGCGAAAGCGUGGGGAGCAAACAGGAUUAGAUACCCUAGUAGUC